AGAGUUUGAUCCUGGCUCAGGACGAACGCUGGCGGUGUGCUUCACACAUGCAAGUCGAACGGAGUAGCAAUACUCAGUGGCGGACGGGUGAGUAACACGUGGGAAUCUACCAUUAGGUGGGGAAUAGCAGGCCGAAAGGACUGCUAAUGCCGCAUAUGUAGGCAUCGCGACAGAGAUGUUUAUGAAAGGAGUAAUCCGCCUUUUGAUGAGCCCGCGUCCGAUUAGCUAGUUGGUAGGGUAAAAGCCUACCAAGGCGACGAUCGGUAGGUGGUCUGAGAGGAUGAUCACCCACAAUGGGACUGAGACACGGCCCAUACUCCUACGGGAGGCAGCAGUGGGGAAUUUUACGCAAUGGGGGAAACCCUGACGUAGCGACACCGCGUGAGCGAAGAAGCCCUUUGGGGUGUAAAGCUCUGUCAACAGGAACGAAACAAAUGACGGUACCUGUGGAGGAAGCAUCGGCUAACUACGUGCCAGCAGCCGCGGUAAGACGUAGGAUGCAAGCGUUGUCCGGAUUUAUUGGGCGUAAAGAGUUCGUAGGCGGUUUGUUAAGUCUGAUGUUAAAGACCGGGGCUCAACCUCGGAAAUGCAUUGGAUACUGGCAGACUGGAGUGCAGUAGAGGCUAGUGGAAUUCCCAGUGUAGCGGUGAAAUGCGUAGA
rnacentral:rRNA from 1 species